GGUAGUGUGGCCGAGUGGUCCAAGGUGCUAGAUUUAGGCUCCCGUCUCGAAAAAGGCGUGGGUUUUAAUCCCACCACUACCA
rnacentral:tRNA from 1 species